rnacentral:lncRNA from 1 species
ACACAGCUGAAGCAAUCAGAGGAUUCAGUACAAAAUCUUGCGAAAGAGGUGGCACAGCUGAAAGAUGAACUUUCAGUUCAGCUGGAAAACUAUUCCACCUUGGACAAGCAAUUCGAAGAAGUCAGGAGCAGUAUGCAUGCUGAAAUUGCAGAACUACAUGCAGAGAAGGACGCAUCUCUAUUGGAGUUACAGACAUCUCAGGCUUCUGUCAGGAACCUUGAGGUUGCGCUUCAAACGCAAAAUGAGAACAUUUCAACUCUACAGCAAGCUAAUGAUGAGUUGCAGAAGAACAUUCGUACUUUGUCCGAGCAAACAGAACUAGCCAAGGCUGAGCUGCAGCAGGAGGUCAAGGCUACACAAGAAGAGAAGGAUGCAGUACUGACACAGCUGAAGCAAUCAGAGGAUUCAGUACAAAAUCUUGCGAAAGCGGUGGCACGGCUGAAAGAUGAACUUUCAGUUCAGCUGGAAAACUACUCCACCUUGGACAAGCAGUUGGAAGAAGUCAGGAGCAGUAUGCAUGCUGAAAUUGCAGAACUACGUGCAGAGAAGGACACAUCUCUAUUGGAGUUGCAGAUAUCUCAGGCUUCUGUCAGGAACCUUGAGAUUGCGCUUCAAACGCAAAAUGAGAACAUUUCAACUCUACAGCAAGCUAAUGAUGAGUUGCAGAAGAACAUUUGUACUUUUUCCGAGCAAAC